GAUGAACGCUGGCGGCGUGCCUAAUACAUGCAAGUCGAGCGAAUGGAUUAAGAGCUUGCUCUUAUGAAGUUAGCGGCGGACGGGUGAGUAACACGUGGGUAACCUGCCCAUAAGACUGGGAUAACUCCGGGAAACCGGGGCUAAUACCGGAUAACAUUUUGAACCGCAUGGUUCGAAAUUGAAAGGCGGCUUCGGCUGUCACUUAUGGAUGGACCCGCGUCGCAUUAGCUAGUUGGUGAGGUAACGGCUCACCACGGCAACGAUGCGUAGCCGACCUGAGAGGGGGAUCGGCCACACGGGGACGGGGACACGGCCCAGACUCCUGCGGGAGGCAGCAGUAGGGAAUCUUCCGCAAUGGACGAAAGUCUGACGGAGCAACGCCGCGUGAGUGAUGAAGGCUUUCGGGUCGUAAAACUCUGUUGUUAGGGAAGAACAAGUGCUAGUUGAAUAAGCUGGCACCUUGACGGUACCUAACCAGAAAGCCACGGCUAACUACGUGCCAGCCGCCGCAGUAA
rnacentral:rRNA from 1 species